GAUCCUGGCUCAGAUUGAACGCUGGCGGCAGGCCUAACACAUGCAAGUCGAGCGGAUGAAGGGAGCUUGCUCCUGGAUUCAGCGGCGGACGGGUGAGUAAUGCCUAGGAAUCUGCCUGGUAGUGGGGGAUAACGUCCGGAAACGGGCGCUAAUACCGCAUACGUCCUGAGGGAGAAAGUGGGGGAUCUUCGGACCUCACGCUAUCAGAUGAGCCUAGGUCGGAUUAGCUAGUUGGUGGGG
rnacentral:rRNA from 1 species